UACGGAGGGGGCGAGCGUUAUUCGGAAUUAUUGGGCGUAAAGGGCGCGUAGGCGGCUGUACAAGUCAAAGGUGAAAUCCCUCGGCUCAACUGAGGAACUGCCUUUGAAACUGUACGGCUUGAGGCCGGGAGGGGGUAGCGGAAUUCCCAAUGUAGCGGUGAAAUGCGUAGAUAUCAGGAGGAACACCUGCGGUGUAGACGGCUUACUGGACCAUAACUGACGCUGAGGCACGAAAGCGUGGGGAGCAAACAGG
rnacentral:rRNA from 1 species